rnacentral:rRNA from 1 species
UACGUAGGGUGCAAGCGUUGCCCGGAUUUAUUGGGCGUAAAGGGCGCGUAGGCGGCAUAUUAAGUCAGCUGUGAAAUCUCCGAGCUUAACUCGGAACUGUCAGCUGAUACUGAUGUGCUAGAGUGCAGAAGGGGCAAUCGGAAUUCUUGGUGUAGCGGUGAAAUGCGUAGAUAUCAAGAGGAACACCUGAGGUGAAGACGGGUUGCUGGGCUGACACUGACGCUGAUAGCGCGAAAGCCAGGGGAGCAAACGGG